GAUGAACGCUGGCGGCGUGCUUAACACAUGCAAGUCGAACGGUGAAGGCGGAGCUUGCCCUGCUGGAUCAGUGGCGAACGGGUGAGUAACACGUGAGCAAUCUGCCCCUGACUCUGGGAUAAGCGCUGGAAACGGCGUCUAAUACUGGAUACGAGCUGCGAAGGCAUCUUCAGCAGCUGGAAAGAAUUUCGGUCAGGGAUGAGCUCGCGGCCUAUCAGCUUGUUGGUGAGGUAAUGGCUCACCAAGGCGUCGACGGGUAGCCGGCCUGAGAGGGUGACCGGCCACACUGGGACUGAGACACGGCCCAGACUCCUACGGGAGGCAGCAGUGGGGAAUAUUGCACAAUGGGCGAAAGCCUGAUGCAGCAACGCCGCGUGAGGGACGACGGCCUUCGGGUUGUAAACCUCUUUUAGCAGGGAAGAAGCGAAAGUGACGGUACCUGCAGAAAAAGCGCCGGCUAACUACGUG
rnacentral:rRNA from 1 species